UGGGGAAUAUUGCACAAUGGGCGCAAGCCUGAUGCAGCCAUGCCGCGUGUGUGAAGAAGGCCUUCGGGUUGUAAAGCACUUUCAGCGAGGAGGAAGGUGGUGAACUUAAUACGUUCAUCAAUUGACGUUACUCGCAGAAGAAGCACCGGCUAACUCCGUGCCAGCAGCCGCGGUAAUACGGAGGGUGCAAGCGUUAAUCGGAAUUACUGGGCGUAAAGCGCACGCAGGCGGUUUGUUAAGUCAGAUGUGAAAUCCCCGGGCUCAACCUGGGAACUGCAUUUGAAACUGGCAAGCUAGAGUCUCGUAGAGGGGGUAGAAUUCCAGGUGGUAGCGGUGAAAUGCGUAGAGAUCUGGAGGAAUACCGGUGGCGAAGGCGGCCCCCUGGACG
rnacentral:rRNA from 1 species